rnacentral:lncRNA from 1 species
CAUCAAUGAAAACAUAUCUUUCACAAAUUUGAAAUGUAUUAUAUUAAGUUUAGUCUAUAAUCGAUUAAAAACGUUACACAAUAAUGUAUGUAUACAAAAGGAUGAUAUAAAAAUCGAAUGUAAAGAUUUUAAAAAAAGCAUACGUAUUUUUAAUUCUGUUUAUAUGUAUUUUGAAAAAGGAGUUGUUAACCAGGAAAAUGAAAAAAUAAAACGCUCAGGUUAUGAUGGCACUACUAGUGCUUUGGGUUUAACAAUAGGAAGUUUUACUAAUGAUGGUAUUACUUCCAACAACAACAAUUGUAAUACUCCAUUAACUUCCAUUUUGGAUAAUAUCAUAGCAAGAGCAAAUAAUACUGACCUUAAAAGUGAAGAUAAAAAGAAAUAUCUACUGGAUUCUAUUAGCGGAGAAAAAACGCACAUGUGUAUGAGUAAGCCGAUUGUUAGUAGCAGUAGAAAUGUUAGUAGCAGUAGCAAUGUUAAUAGCAGUUACAAUGUUAAUAGGAGUAGCAAUGUUUGUAGCAGUAGCAAUGUUAGUAGUAGCUGUAAUAUCAGUAACAGUGACACAUCCUUAUGUAUCGAACAAAAAAACCAAGUAAAUAAGGACAAUUGCGAUUUAAAAAAUAGACAACUAUAUGUCCAGGCUGAUUUGAAUGUACAUGAGGAUGUGAUAACCCUUUUUGAAAAUAUCAAUCAUUAUAUUAAUAGAGUAAAUACAGAUUAUUUGAAGUAUAUACCUAUACUCUUUUUAAGUAUACACAGUAAUAAUAAUAAUAAUAACAAUAGCAAUAACAGUAGCAAUAACAAUAGCAAUAACAAUAGCAAUAACAGUAGCAAUAACAGUAGCAAUAACAAUAGCAAUAACAGUAGCAAUAACAAUAGCAAUGAUAAUUACACAGAUAAAUAUAAAAAAAUGUUAAUGUACUUUUUAACAUCUAUAGAAAAAACUGCCGACUUAGACAUUUUUUUAAUUUAUUUGAAAUUUCUUAGUACUUAUUGUAACAAUAUAUAUGUAUUGUCAUACAUUCCAUAUUUUUAUAAAUGUGUAUUGGCUAAAAAAUUUAUAGAUACUACUAAUUUGUUAGAAAAAAAAAUAAUUUUUUUAUUAUCAUGUUUAUGUUGUUUUAUAAACAAAACUUAUAAUUCCAAUAACAUAGAUCCGAAUAAUUUUUAUAAAUGUAACAAU